CAGACUAUACUUUCAGGGAUCGUUUCUGUAGUUUGCUGCUAGAGGGGUCUCUCUGAGUGCACAGAGUGCCCCAAACCACGAGGAGGAGGCGUAGCCUUCUCUCCCGAGUGUGAAGCCAGCCUUCGGUGUUGCUCUUGCAACUGCUGGUGACCAGUGAUGGUUGUUCUUCUCUUCCUUUGGGGGCGGGGGAGGGUGCAGUCUGCGUGGU